rnacentral:ncRNA from 2 species
AUAAUCUCACUAGAUAUAAGUUGCGAAAGCAUUCAUAGAGAAGCCGGUGCGAAUCCGGCACGGUCCCGCCACUGUAACAGGGACAGCCAGGCAAUUGACCACUGAACAGAAUUGUUUGGGAAGGCGCCAUGGUUGGAUGAACUGAAGUCAGGAGAACUGCUUAUAUCUACAUAAGAUG